ensembl:snRNA U1 U1 spliceosomal RNA
AUACUUACCUGGCAGGAGAAAUACCAUGAUCACAAAGAUACUUUUCCCAUGCCAGGGCUUAUCUACUAUACUCCAGAUGUGCUGACCUCUCCUAUUUCCCCAAAUGUGGGAAAUAUGACUCUGAUUUGUGGUUGUAGAGGACUGUGUUGAUGCUUGCCCCUU